AUUGAACGCUGGCGGCAGGCCUAACACAUGCAAGUCGAACGGUAACAGGAAGCAGCUUGCUGCUUUGCUGACGAGUGGCGGCCGGGUGAGUAAUGUCUGGGAAACUGCCUGAUGGAGGGGGAUAACUACUGGAAACGGUAGCUAAUACCGCAUAACGUCGCAAGACCAAAGAGGGGGACCUUCGGCCUCUUGCCAUCGGAUGUGCCCAGAUGGGAUUAGCUAGUAGGUGGGGUAACGGCUCACCUAGGCGACGAUCCCUAGCUGGUCUGAGAGGAUGACCAGCCACACUGGAACUGAGACACGGUCCAGACUCCUACGGGAGGCAGCAGUGGGGAAUAUUGCACAAUGGGCGCAAGCCUGAUGCAGCCAUGCCGCGUGUAUGAAGAAGGCCUUCGGGUUGUAAAGUACUUUCAGCGGGGAGGAAGGGAGUAAAGUUAAUACCUUUGCACAUUGACGUUACCCGCAGAAGAAGCACCGGCUAACUCCGUG
rnacentral:rRNA from 1 species